rnacentral:rRNA from 1 species
AUGGCCACCUGCCUCUCUGAUUUAAUAAGUGACCAUUCCCUUGAUUUCCUGGGUCUACAGGAAACCAUGAAGAAAAACUUCUCCCCUAUAUGCUUGAGAAAAAUUGACCCUUCUAGUAUCUUUGAGUGGGUCUGGAUCCCCUCAUGUGGCAAGUCAGGUGGUAUCAUUGCAGGGGCUAGAAAAGACAUUUUGGACUUGAGUUAUAACAAGAAAGGAAAGUUCAUGAUCCAGCUUGAUCUAAUAGAUAGGAGGAAUAAAUCUGAAUGGAGUAUUCUAGUGGUGUAUGGCCCAGCUCAUGAGGAAAUGAGGGAGGAGUUCCUGCUGGAACUUGCUCAAUUCUGUUCUAAAAUGAACAAACCCUACAUAGUUAGGGGAGACUUUAACAUCUUGAGGCAUGGUGGUGAGAAGAAUAAAAAAGUACAUGGACAUAAAUCUAUGGACAUGUUCAAUUCUGUCAUUAAUGCAUAUGGCGUGAGGGAGAUUUAUUGUAGUGGAGGGAAAUAUACUUGGACAAAUAACCAGACCCACCCCACUUUGGAAAAGCUAGACAGGAUUUUGAUGUCUAGCGACUGGGAAGACUUAUACCCAUUGGUAACUGUUAGAAAGCUGGUUAGAGAGUUAUCUGAUCAUAACCCCCUACUCCUUUCCUCAGGAGACAUGGGCAGGGAGGCACAUAACCCUAGGGAAUUCAGGUUUGAUCUGGCCUGGUUAAAAAAUGAGGACUUUCUACCCUUAGUGGAGAAAAUCUGGAAUAAAGCGGUUAAAGCUGAAGAUCCUAUUGAUAUUCUUAAUAUCAAAUUAAAAAGGUUUAAAACCUUCUUUAAAGGGUGGGGGUCCAAUAAGUACGGCCAUACCAAGAAAAGAAAAGAAGAAUUAAGAGUAGAAUUGUCCACUCUUGAGGAGCUUGAAGAGGAGGGACCUCUGACCCCUGAGAUGUAUAGUAGAAAGGUGGAUAUUAAUUUUGAGCUUCAUGAGAUUCUGGUAAAUGAGGAGAUUUUCUGGCUACAAUAA